CUUUAACACUACAUUAUUUUGGUAGUUGACAAUAAAUAAUAAUGUGGAUUGAAUUAAUGACAUCUUUUAAUCAACAGAGAUUCAUGAAUGAAACAGGGGAUGCAGUAAAGAGGUUCUCUGACCAAUUAUCCGCCACCUCCCUCAUGACCUGGUAAAAUAGACUGACUCUCGAUAGGUUACGGGCAAAGAGGAUGGUGUAGGUAGAAUGAUUAGGUUCAUUGCUGUACGUACAUUUUUGAUAACACAGAUCAUGUUUGGGAAAUGGAAAAGUGUUGCAAGAACUGUAUUAUGGGCUGCUUUCACCUGUAUGAGUGUGAUUGGGUUGUGUGGUUGUUGUUUGGUCCCGUGUGCAAGAGGUUUAAUCACCAGAACUCUAGAGAGAUGAUAACGGAGCAGAUGGUGAGCUACGGACCGAGUCAAAGUUCAGAUCAAUGAGAUGACAAGUACCUACCGCCGAGCAAGAUUGUUCUUUUUUGUCACGUCUUGCAGACGUGAAGAGGGGGAUUUGUAAUAAAGAUAAUCUAACGUUUUACCUAA